rnacentral:tRNA from 1 species
GGAGAGGUGGCUGAGAGGCCGAAAGCACCAGUUUGCUAAACUGGCAUACGGGAAACUGUAUCGCGGGUUCGAAUCCCGCCCUCUCCGCCA